rnacentral:lncRNA from 1 species
CUCCAAGGACCCCCAAAUCCUCCUUGGGAACCCCAAAUCCUCCCCGGGAACCCCAAAUUCGGGUUUGGGAACUCAAAAAACGCCCCCCUGGGGAUGUCCGUGGUGGGCAGCCCCAAAUCCACCCCAAAUCCUCCUUGGGUACCCCAAAAUCCUCCUUGGAAACCCGAAAUCUUCAUUGGGAACCCCAAAUUCGGGUUUGGGACCCCAAAUUCGGGUUUGGGGCCUCAAAAAUACUCCUCGAGGCCAAAUUUUGGGGUCUCAAAGCCGAAUUUUGGGGGGAUCGAGACCCCCAAACCCCUCCCAGACCCCAAAUUUUGGGGGGAUCGAGACCCCCAAACCCUCCCCAAAUCCCCCAAAUUUCCCAGGUUUGAUUUUUAAACCUCCCCGACCCCAAAAAAAGCUCCCAAAAAUCCCCCCAGGACCCCCUGGGAGGCUCCAAACCUUCCCCAAACCCCAAAUUUUGGGGGUUUUGAGACCCCCAAAUCCUUUCCCGACACCCCAAAAUAUUUUGGGGUGUCCCCAGGGGUCGUUUUCAACGACAUCUACUCGGCCUCCAAGUUCGCCGUGGAGGGGCUGUGUGAGAGCCUGGCGGUGCAGCUGCUGCAGUUCAACGUCUUCGUGUCUCUGGUGGAGCCGGGCCCGGUGAACACCGAGUUCGAGCGCAAGGUCCUGCAGGAGGUGGAAAAAUCGGAAUUCCCGGGAACGGAUCCCGAGACUCUGCGCUAUUUCCGCGAGGUUUACCUGCCCGCCAGCCGCCAGGUGUUCGACACCUUCGGCCAGAGCCCCGAGGAGGUGGCGCAGGUGAGGAUUGGGGAAAUUUCCGGAAUUUUUUGGGAAUUUUUUGGGAAUUUUUUGGGAAUUUUUUGGGAUUUUUUUGGGAUUUUUUUGUAAUUUUUGGGGGAUUUUUUGGGAAUUUUUUGGGAUUUUCUGGGGGGAAUUUUGGUGUUUUUUGGGGUACCCGGGAUGGAUUUUUUUGGGGUCCCCCUCCUCCGUGUCCCCCCCAGAGAUUGGAGACCCCAGACCCAAAUCCUGGGAGGUUUUCA